GACAGAGGCCUCAAGCGUUAGGCGGAAUCACUGGGCUUAAAGCGUGUGUAGGCGGAUCGUUAAGUGUCUUGUGAAAUCCCACGGCUCACCCGUGGAACUGCUGGGCAUACUGGCGAUCUUGGGCCAACUAGGGGCAACUGGAACAAGCGGUGGAGCGGUGAAAUGCGUAGAUAUCGCUUGGAACGCCAAAGGUGAAAACGGGUUGCUGGGGUUGUGCCGACG
rnacentral:rRNA from 1 species